UGGGGAAUAUUGGACAAUGGGCGAAAGCCUGAUCCAGCCAUGCCGCGUGUGUGAAGAAGGCCUUUUGGUUGUAAAGCACUUUAAGUGGGGAGGAAAAGCUUAUGGUUAAUACCCAUAAGCCCUGACGUUACCCACAGAAUAAGCACCGGCUAACUCUGUGCCAGCAGCCGCGGUAAUACAGAGGGUGCAAGCGUUAAUCGGAAUUACUGGGCGUAAAGCGCGCGUAGGUGGUUAUUUAAGUCAGAUGUGAAAGCCCCGGGCUUAACCUGGGAACUGCAUCUGAUACUGGAUAACUAGAGUAGGUGAGAGGGGAGUAGAAUUCCAGGUGUAGCGGUGAAAUGCGUAGAGAUCUGGAGGAAUACUGAUGGCGAAGGCAGCUCCCUGGCAUCAUACUGACACUGAGGUGCGAAAGCGUGGGUAGCAAACAGGAUUAGAUACCCUGGUAGUCCACGCCGUAAACGAUGUCUACCAGUCGUUGGGUCUUUUAAAGACUUAGUGACGCAGUUAACGCAAUAAGUAGACCGCCUGGGGAGUACGGCCGCAAGGUUA
rnacentral:rRNA from 1 species